rnacentral:rRNA from 1 species
AUUGAACGCUGGCGGCAGGCUUAACACAUGCAAGUCGAACGAGUGGCGAACGGGUGAGUAACGCAUCGGAACGUACCGAGUAAUGGGGGAUAACUGUCCGAAAGGACAGCUAAUACCGCAUAUUAUUCGAGCGGCCGAUGUCUGAUUAGCUGGUUGGCGGGGUAAAGGCCCACCAAGGCGACGAUCAGUAGCGGGUCUGAGAGGAUGAGCCGCCACACGGGGACUGAGACACGGCCCAGACUCCUACGGGAGGCAGCAGUGGGGAAUUUUGGACAAUGGGCGAAAGCCUGAUCCAGCCAUGCCGCGUGUGUGAAGAAGGUCUUCGGAUUGUAAAGCACUUUAAGUUGGGAGGCGUUACCAACAGAAUAAGCACCGGCUAACUUCGUGCCAGCAGCCGCGGUAAUUC